rnacentral:rRNA from 1 species
AAUACAGAGGGUGCGAGCGUUGUUCGGAAUUAUUGGGCGUAAAGCGCGUGUAGGCGGGAUGGCAAGUCGGGUGUGAAAGCCCUCAGCUCAACUGAGGAAGUGCGCCCGAAACUACUGUUCUUGAGUGUCGGAGAGGGUGGCGGAAUUCCCGGUGUAGAGGUGAAAUUCGUAGAUAUCGGGAGGAACACCAGAGGCGAAGGCGGCCACCUGGACGAACACUGACGCUGAGACGCGAAAGCGUGGGGAGCAAACAG